CCAAGGAGUCUAACAUGUGCGCAAGUCAUGGGGUUGUACGAAACCUAAAGGCGUAAUGAAAGUGAAGGCACGCUCGCGUGUCGAGGUACGAUCCCCUAGCCUUCAAAAGCUCGGGGGCGCAGUACCGGCCCGUCUCAUCGGCGCCGUCCGGGAGGCGGAGCAAGAGCGUACACGUUGGGACCCGAAAGAUGGUGAACUAUGCUUGAGUAGGACGAAGCCAGAGGAAACUCUGGUGGAGGUCCGUAGCGAUUCUGACGUGCAAAUCGAUCGUCAAACUUGAGUAUAGGGGCGAAAGACUAAUCGAACCAUCUA
rnacentral:rRNA from 1 species